CAAAUCCGGUUCUUGCAAGGAUUCAGGGAUCAGAUGCUGAGAGUAGUGAAGGGCUUCUCAAUGUCUAGACAUAAUGGUUUGUUCAUAAACUCAUGUUUCGCUCACUGCCAAACCGAGAGGCAGGACACUUGGUUCGCUGAUGAUUCUCCUGUCAUAAGAAAAAAGGUUAGUAGUAAGCUCAAAUUUUAUCCCAACACAAACAGAAGCAAAAGGCUGUUAUUGACUUUGUAUAAUGGCAUCAUGCAGGCUGUGGCUAUAGCUGUGGGAGAUUGGUAUUUUGAUAGAGCAGAAGUGAAGUUAAUUGAUUGUCCUUACCCUUGUGACAAGAGCUGCCACAACUUGGUGUUCAGAUGAUUUAUCUACUUGAUUCUUCCUCAUAUACAUACUUAGAAAGCUUAGCUUCUCUCAAAUGGAGAAGCUUACUAUUUUACCAAUGACUCAUUGGAAGAAAAUGUAUGAUUAAUUUGGAAAAACCAUAAUAAACUCCAAAAAAAAUACAUAAGUUGGCUCAUAAGAGUUCAAAAUGUAAUCACAGAGCAAUGAUUCUUCUUUCCUUUGUUUUUUUCUCCUCUACUUGCCACUACAAGUAGUUGAUAAAUGUCAACAUAUUGGUCCCACACAAAGAAUUUGAUUUCACAAGUAUCCAAGAAAUGCAGGUAAUGGAUAAGAAUAAAAAAAGCAAUAAAAUAGUAAAAAGGGAUAAAAGAAAGUGAAAAAAAGAAGAAUAUUACAGAGUGGUGUUGAUGAUAUACUUUGACACCCUGGUAUUAGGGUGAGUGACAGCUAUCUAGUGUUCCCCACUUUGUAUGUGUUUU
rnacentral:lncRNA from 1 species